AGGCCGCGCGCCGCGCGGGGGCGGGGCUCCGCCGCCGGCCCCGCCCCUCGCGGGCGUGGUAGGGGAGCUGAGGGGAGAUGGCGGCUGCGGGUGAGGCGGGUGGCUGGCGCCGCCGGAUCUCUCUCCCUUGCCAGCCCUGACGGGGGCCGGGCCCGCUGUUUUAUCUUCGCUUUGGUGGGACGGAUAACCGGCGAGCAAUGAGCCGGGAAGGAGGUUCACAGCUGCUGUUUUGGACUUUCUACUUAGAGCUCACAUGGGACUAGUGAGUUGGAAGAAACUUGAAGGUCGUCCUUAGGCAAAGCUGCUUCACAAAGUGUCCUGUGUACCCAGGCCAUCGGCUGUGAGCAGUCAAAGGGGUCUGUCUCUACGUUCCCUCUCCUAAUAAUGAUUGCCAAAGCAGUUAUCUGGAUGGAGUCGAGUCCCUUGGAUGAAGGAAGAGCUGCAGCUGGGGUCAGCUCUUGAACCCAAUAAAGAAUUCACACUAAAACAAGUCUUCCUCAGUGCUCCCUCUACAGCCUGCUGACGUGACUGACAGUUCGGAGAGAAGGCAGCCCUGCCUGUUUCUGCUCUGGCAGCCUGACACCGCCACUGGUGUCUUUUGGUGGCUGCAGAAAGUAAGAAACUAUCUAAGACUCUGGAAGUCAGAAGAGUUGCUAAAGGAUUUGAAUUGAUGAAAUCUUAGGGCCAGUGUCACAGAAAUUAUCUUUGUCCACGAAGAUAUUAGCAGAUAACCUACCAUUUUUGUUUAAAAGAGAAGUCUGUCUUUUGCCUGUGACUAUAAUGGAUGCCUCG